UACGUAGGGUGCUAGCGUUGUCCGGAAUUAUUGGGCGUAAAGGGCUCGUAGGCGGUCUGUCACGUCGAAAGUGAAAACUCAGGGCUUAACCCUGAGCCUGCUUCCGAUACGGGCAGACUAGAGGUAUGCAGGGGAGAAUGGAAUUCCUGGUGUAGCGGUGAAAUGCGCAGAUAUCAGGAGGAACACCAGUGGCGAAGGCGGUUCUCUGGGCAUUACCUGACGCUGAGGAGCGAAAGUGUGGGGAGCGAACAGG
rnacentral:rRNA from 1 species